AAGUCGUAACAAGGUUUCCGUAGGUGAACCUGCGGAAGGAUCAUUAUUACGAAAUCAAAAAUCGUAACCCCAAACAACAAAUUGUGCAUUUCUGUACUGUUCCGGUAGUUUCAUUUGACCUUUGUAAAGGCUUACUUUGAUGUGCUUGCUUCAAAAACAUGCAUAUUCAAAGCACUUCUGAGCAGAUGAAGUGAACGGGUCUUUUUCGUCGAAUGAUUUCAAACUACCGGUUAGUAUUAUCUGCUCACACACUUAACAAACCAUUAACCCCAUGUAACUAUUUUGAACUAAAUACAUCUGACGCAUGCAUCUCAUGUAUGUGUCUGAAUCAAAACCGAACUUAAGAACAACUCUUAACAACGGAUAUCUUGGUUCUC
rnacentral:misc_RNA from 1 species